rnacentral:rRNA from 1 species
AGAUUGAACGCUGGCGGCAUGCCUAACACAUGCAAGUCGAACGGGAGUAGCAAUACUCUAGUGGCGGACGGGUGAGGAAUACGUAGGAAUUUGCCCUUAAGUGGGGGAUAACCCGGGGAAACCCGGAUUAAUACCGCAUGACCUCGAAAGAGCAAAGUGGGGGAUCGCAAGACCUCACGCUUUUGGAGAAGCCUACGUCGGAUUAGCUAGUUGGUGAGGUAAUGGCUCACCAAGGCGACGAUCCGUAAACUGGUCUGAGAGGAUGAUCAGUCACACCGGAACUGAGACACGGUCCGGACUCCUACGGGAGGCAGCAGUGGGGAAUAUUGGACAAUGGGCGCAAGCCUGAUCCAGCAAUGCCGCGUGUGUGAAGAAGGCCUUCGGUUGUAAAGCACUUUAAGUUGGGAAGUAAAAAACUCGACUACUAACACACGUAGAGUCUAGUACGGUAACCGACCAAGAAGUAAGACACCGACUAACUCUGU